ensembl:lncRNA uncharacterized LOC114767976
GCUGUAACAUGUCUCUCAAACUGGGCACAGACAAGGGGGCUUCUGUCAGUCAAGCUUUUAAAAAAAAAAAAAAAUCAGGUCAGUUUUUAUUAAGUCCUCGUCUUAAUGGGCCCAUACUGACAGGGAAGCUUUGCCCUUCCUUCCUCCUUGUUCCUUUCUUUUUAUACUGUGGCAGCGUUUUAUAAAAGGGUGUGGGUGUAUCUUUCAAGUUACCAGGACCGCUAAAUGCAGCCGAAUUGGUUCUGUGGACAUUAUGCAGUGUGUGCAGAAGUGCUGGGCAUAGCUGAGAGGGGAGACUGGACUGAAUGAAGCUCUGAAUCUCGGAGCACCACAGAGAACCUUGGAGCAAAAGGUGUGAAUAAAAUCCAUCUAAAAAAUUGAGGGAUCACUUCUUUGAUCUUCUGAGGGUUGAAAAUUAUCAUGCAGACUGACAACCGUUCAGGUGGUGUGUAUUUUCAGACUUUGUAUAAUUCAGACAACGUAACAGUACAGGAACAGAUCUGAUGACACUGGAGCCAGGAGCAGGGCAAUGGAAAGCUGGGUUUUAGAAGGGGAUAUCUACUCAUUUCAUCGUAGUUCUCCACAUACUUUCAGUCUGCCAGACAGAGAUGGCCCAAACCGUGUUGAGAUUUUUGACAUAACCAACCUCCCCAGUCAAAGCAGUGCUAUAUCUGAAACAACCUGCCUGUGUGACAUUUUUGGGGAUGAUUUUGAGAUAACAUCACUAUCGCGGAGCCCAGCCUCAGCCACAUCUCUGAAAAAAGGGAUGGAUGCACUUUCAAGCACAGAUGACAACUGUUCCUCUGGAUCUUACAACACAGCCAACAAUUCAGAACCACACAGUGACUCCAGUGAGAGCUUUCAAGAUUCCAAGGACAGCAUCCCUGGAACACCUGCAAAAGAUCAUUUUUCAUCUACAACAACUGACUCUUCUGGCUCUACCUGGCCUAAUCCUGAACAUGAAAACACUACAGUGAAUGAUGUAGACCCAGCAUUCUUGACAAAUGCUGCAAUUCUUUCAAAUUUAGGAAGCUCUGAUCUACAGAUCAACAGUGAAUUCAAAAGCAGGCUCAACUCUCCUGAGCAAACUGGCCUCAUGUCUAUGAAUGUUCCACAGGAAAAUUAUACUUUAAUACCACCUAACACAAGUUUCACAAUGUCAUCACCCAACAUCAGUCCUGUAGAGCCUAAACUAACCAUGACAAAAAAAUCAGGAGAAAGAUCAAAAUUACAGUCACCAAGGGAAUCAACACCAUCACCAAAGCUUAACAACAUCAAUAAUGUUCCAGUGCUUACCAUUUUACCUGAAGCUAGAGAAAGUUCUAUCAUUUUUUCAUCUGAACCAAUCGACACAAGACCAUUACCCGCUGCCAAAGAUUUCAGCCCCUGUACAAUCAUACCAGAAUCUAGACAGAGUUUCACAGUAUCUUCACUUGAACCAGAGGACAAAACACCAUCACCAAACAUCAAAGGUGUCUGUCCUGUACCUGCAUUUAGCAUAAUACCUGAGUCCAAAACAACAACCACCUCAUCACCUGAAAUGAGGGGAAAGACGCCAUCACCAGAACUUAAAGACAUUUUUGCUGUGCCUAUGUUUAACAUUAUACCAGAAUCAAAACAAUGUUCCAUAGAGCCACUUAAUGAGUUGAGGGGAAUCAAAGCAUCACCAGAGAUUGAGUUGCUUCCAGUGUUUUCAGCUAGAUCAGAAUCCAGAGAAAGUUCCAUAGUAUCAUCACCCAAACUCAUGGGCAAUUCACCAUCACCAAACAUCAAGGAAACAAGUUCAUGGCAAGUGCUUACCAGUAUUGCACAAGAACCUUCUCUAACAUUGAAAUGUGAACAGAUUGUCAGAUCAACAUUACCAGAAUGGAAAGACAACAUUUUUCUAAGGGAAGCAGGAGAUACACCUGUGGUACCUGCAUCUGAUCAAAAUAGGUCUUUAUCAACUGAUGCCCCACUAACUGAACAGAGUCUGACAGAAUUUUCCAGAAGUCAUCAUCUGUCAUCUGAAAACAGGAAUGAAAUCAUGCAAGCAGAAGAGCUAGAUUGUAUGAAUCGAGGAUUUGGAAGUGUAAUGGAUUACAGCAAAGACAAGGACUUUUCAUUUGAGAAGAAAAGUGAUGCUAACCCUACCGAAUCCCCAGGCAUAGUGGCAGCAUUGACGCCUUCAAUGUUUACAUAUACACACUUUUCCCCUGAAAGCAUGUCAGCUGCUUCUCCUCAGCCUAUAGAUUCUUUGGAAAUUAAAAACAUGAACGAUUCCCACCCUUCUUUGGAAGACUUGCUAGAUUUAGAAAGUCUUUGCUCCACAUCUGAAACAAGUGAUAACACCUCCAUGUCAAAAUACAUGACUGCCUCACAUGUAUCAAGAAGUGCAACCUCCUCACCUCAAAUUGUUGGUUUGAUGUACAGCGUUAAUUCCCCAGAAGCCAGUGAGAGGACACAGUCACCGGAGAUCAGAGGAAUAACCUACAGUGUUUUAUCACACCAUACAAAGAGUUCAACAAAUUCUAUAGACAACACACCAGAGAUUGAAAUGUCUGGGUCCCCUGAAUUGUCCUGUUCAAACAGCACACACAGCAUCAGCAAUAUUACACCAUUACAGCAGCCAAGAAAUGUAACUCUCUCUCCUGAUAUCAAAGGAACAAAUUUAUCACAUCAGCUGUCUUCAACCACAGUUGAAGGCAAAGCUUAUUCAUCUGAAAACAUAUCUUCAGAUCUCUCACCAGUAAACUCUGCCACUUCAGCAGACUCAAGUGGAAAUGAUCCUUCACUGGUAUUUUUUUCCAGACCGUCUUUUGAAUCUGCUGAUAAAGGACAUUCACAUGAUGCAGAAUGCUGUUGCGUCUCUGGAAACAAAGUCUCAGACACUCCAUCUGAGGUUGGAUGCUCAGAUGUCCUACCAGAACAGAGAUUUCUAGUAUCUGAGUCAAAAAGAAAUGUCUCCAUGUCAGAGCAUAACCAACAGACCCAGUUAUCAGGAUCAUUAGUUGAAACCCUUUGUUCCAAUACCAAUUUGAGACCAGACACAACACUGACUUCUGACUCUAAGGAAUCUUCAGCCACACUGCCAUCUGAAGGGAAACAGGAAAAUGGACUUUAUCAGUCAGUAAAAAUGGAAACAGAAUCAGCAGGAAACUGUAGGAGGUCAGACCAGAUGCCUGUCAAAUUCAGGGAAAUCCCCAGUGUCUGCCAUGGUGACUGCAGUGGAGACUAUUACUGCUGCCAGUGCCAGAACAGGGAGCAGGGUGCAGACAGGGAGGGGUCAGUGAAGCAGGCGUCAGAAACGGGGGAGGGGAAGAGAGACAAGGGCAGAGCAGAACAGGUUGAGCUGUCAGUCAGUGCCAGGAAUAGAAAAUGGCCUGCACACCACAGUCUAGCUAACACAAGCACUGACCUGAAGUCAGAAAUUCCAGCCUGCUGUUAUUCUGAGUCUCUGCUUGCAGCUCGACAGCAACAGACUCAGAGCAAAACACCGAAAUUACAGCGAGAAAAAGACAAGAGACAUCCCAGGGGACUUCCUUUCCUGUACAGGAGGAGAAACAGUGCUGGCCACUUCUCCACAGGCUACACCGGUGAAGGCUCCAACAUGGGCAGUGAGCUUGAUGAGGCAGACAACGAGGUGAAAUGGCUAACAGAUCUGGCAUUUCAGAGUCUGUCAAGCCCACAGAUGGACUACUUGGACAUUUACAAUUCAAGCCACAGGUCGUCCACAAACAUUUCACAGCCUUCUACUGAGGAAAGCACAGGUGCCAAUGCAUGGCUAUCCUAUGCAGACUUCCAUGGUUCAGCACAGCAUGAAAGUAAGGACACUUCGCACCAGAUUUAUGAUAUUCCAACCAGAGAUCCUACAAAGCACUUUGAGAUGGGAAGUUUUGAAUGUGUAGAUGUUGCCCUGGAGAGUAGGGAGGACAGUAAUAAGGGAAAGAGAACAGUGCCUAAACGUCAGAUUCAUCUUAAGAGAUUUGAUGCAGGAUGUUCUAAAGAUGCUCUAAUUCAACAGCAUAAAACAGGGCCAUGCGAGGCUGGUUGUAUGUCAGACUCAGAUCAAGCUCUCGGAACGCGACAGCCAUUGUUACUGUCUGAAACGUCAAACAGAACAAAAAAUGCUUCUUGUCUGAUCAAGAAUGUUUUGUCAAAAAAGAUGCAGAAUGGCAGCCAGAUUACCAACAAAUGCAAAAACGCAAGUCCAACUGAGGUUCCUUACAAUCCCCAUGAGAUCUCUAGUGAUGCUACUGACAUGGAACAUUGCACUGCAGAGCAAACUCCACACAGUAUCCAACCAACGUUGCACCUGCUGGACAGAGAUGACUUAAAACAGAGAAAGGUUGGGCCAAAAGUGCCUCCAAAGCCAACUCAUUAUACCUUACCGUGUUCUCCAGAGUAUAUACCCCUCAGAUCGGACACCAAGGAAACAGAUGCUCCUUUAGAGGUCAGAAAAAAUGGAAAACUUUGCUCCAGGGGUAAAGAGAGCCAAACGGUUGACAGUAACAUUGUUGAGAGACAGAGAAGGGACUCAGCGGAGAUCAGAGGUGCCACCCAGUCUGUGUGCAUGCAGAGGAAACUGGCAGACACUGACCAGAAAAUCAAUACCCAGCAGAGUGCAAAAAGUCUAUUCAUGUCCAAAUCUUCAGAAAUUACGCUCAAACCCUGUACCAAAGAGAGCCAGAAGGAAUCUGUGAAAGUUUCUGUGUCUCCCGAUCCUGAGACUAAAGGCAAAAAUGAAAUUGGACUUUUAGAAGAAAAACAGGCAAAUAAUUCUAAGCCACAACUUGCUGAAGUAGAGGGCACAGAGGAUAUCAAUGGACAAAAUGGAAGAAAACCCCCCAUGCACAAGGAUGGUGCACAUGAGGCAGGAGUUAAGGUACAGAGGAAAUCUUCACCACUGCAAAUAGAGUGUUUGGCCAUCAGAUGGAAAGAAAACAAAGGAUGCUUUAAUGAGGAAAACAGGGUCACUUUGAAGACAUCCGAUGAGAAUGUAUGUCAACAGAGUCCUGAAAAUAACAGGAAAAAGACAACUCUUGAUGUCACAGCAAAAACAAUUUCCCCUGUAAAUGUUUUAAUGCCAGGGUCACAGCACAAACAACUAGAUGCGGUAGCCAGACAUAUUACUUCUGUUAGUGUUUUGGAUCCUAACAAAGUAAAGAAGGUUGCUGUAAAAGAAGCACAACAGAAUAAAAAAUCAUCCCUUUUAAUACAGCAGGACUCUACUACCGCCUCUCCAAGCCUAACGCCUAAAAGCUGCAGCCAUUCCGUAUCCAUGAUCCUAAAGGAAAAGGGCAUGCAGGCUGACAUUGGGCUAUGUGAUGCUGGGAAUGAAAACAACAGUAACUCUUGUACACACGUCAACAGGCUUGAAGUGCCAUUACCGGGCUGCAGUGUGGAUGGCACGGCAGUUGAAUCAUCCCAGUCCACAACUCUUUUGCACAACAAUUCUUUGCCCAUAUGCAUUCCCAGACCCCAAGAAGAUGUGACGGUAAUAUUUGAGGAAAAUUGCAAUUCAGAAGCAAGCACUAUAUCCACCGCUUGCAGUGAAAAAAUACAUUCACCUUUGAUACUUGGCCAAGAGCAAACAGAGGUUAUUCAUGUAAGUAGUAAUGCCAAAGGCAAUAAAGUACCAUCAAAAGAGAUAGAAUUACCAAUUCAAGUCAGAUCCAUAUCUUGUGAUAGAUCCAAACCAGUUAUACCCACAAAACCAUGGAUAGAAAUAAAGUCAAUUGUAAGUGAAAAGCCAAAAUCAGACACGCCUGCUGGAAAAUAUAAAACCGACAAGAGAAAAUCAGAAAAUGUUCCCACAUUGAAUGUAAAUCCAUUAGUAGGAGCUGAAAUAAGUCAAGUAGUAACAGCAGAGGACUUCACCACACCACCAGAAAGACAAAUAUCAAGCCUCUCUCAUAAUUCAGCAUCAGUUGUGUCAACUGACAGACAAUCACACCAGUCGUCACCGGUUGCAGAAUUUAAUGACUACAUAAGCUCAGUGGAGACCAAGCAACAAAAGCAAAGCACAGCCUGUGGUCAUGAAUUGACCACAGCCACUCCAAGAGACUCUAAACAACCAGCAGUACUGACCCCCAACCGCAUGAAGCAACCAGUGGAACCAGCACCAACACAGGCCACUUGCUGUGUCCCGCAACCUGCUAAAAACAUACCCAAGAAUCAAGUUCAAACUGAGGCUUCUACACAUCACUUCUACACAUCAGAUGACCCUCCCAGCUAUGAUGAGCGGGAGAGUUUCGGCCCAUACCACCUGGCCGACCUGCCCCCAAAAAGGUGCAACAGGUACCAUGUGGGCCCAAGGCAUCCCCAUUGUUCCUGUGGCACGAGCUCCCAUUCAUACUCUAACCAGUCCCGUCAGAGUCCACGCAUGCAUACCCCCCCCAUGGCCCCACAGUCCCCCAGCCAGGCCUUCCCAUUCCAUUUUGUGCCACCACAAGCCCAAGUACGCCCACAUCAGUGCAAAGUGGAGGGGCAGCCUCUAAACCACCAACCUGGAUCACCUAAGACCAAUCAUACUCCUCCUAUAUUCCACCCUUUCAGUCAAUCACCUGGCUGCCCAGCCCCAUCUGGGCAGCCAAGUGGAAGUGAGCAGCAGCACACUCCAGGACAGUCCCUUGACAGACGUCCAGUCCACCAACUUCCUCAAAAUCUGCCAGUUGCUGGUGGCAGACAUUACAGUGAACACAUCCAUCCAACCUCGAUGCCUCCAAUGGAGCCUAGAAACCAGUAUUUGUGUGGUCCACAGGAUCUGGCUUCCUCUUUUGGUCCAGAGUAUGGGAAUGAAGGCCUAGGUAGCGGCAGUGUCCUUUACCCUGAAAGUGCUGGUGGACUUGGUUAUGGACAAAGCCCUCGACGUGUGCUGCUAGAUCCUGAAACAGGAAAAUAUUUCUACAUAGAGGUGCCAAUGCAGCCUCUUCGAAAGAUGCUUUUUGAUCCAGAGACCGGUCAAUAUGUGGAAGUCGUUAUUCCACAACAGGCUCUGUCCCAUUCCGGCCUGUACCCUCCAUCCACAGGCCCUUACUCAUCUCUGCACGGGCCAAGUCUGUAUGCUUCACCAUACCUGCCUUACUCUGUUCCACCCCACUCUCAAGCUCCUCAGCCACGCCACCCUGAGGAUCCUGCCCCCACAACACUACACCAAGGCAGCAUGGGAUUCAUUAACCAAGCAAGCCAGCUACCGAAGCCAGAGAUGCAAGAACAUCCACGUUUGGAUCAAAGCUACUUAGAAAGUAUGUACUAUAUUCCAACUGGCAUGAAUGCAAGUCCACAUGCUCCACAGUCAGACUGUUAUAGCAAGCCUCCUAACUUACCUGUUUCAGGUGGACAAAGAUCAUGAGUUUUAAAUCCACUGCUCACUAUUCAUCUCAUACAUUCAAUAAAUUAUGUUUCGAAUGGAGCUCA